UGACACCGAGGCGGAAGUGCGGCCGGCCGCCAGGCAGACUGACAGCCGGCGCUCUCCACUCGCAGCGCCCGGCGCCGGAGCGUCGGCGGCCGUCCGCCCAAUCCGCGCCCGGCCCGAGGGCCGCGCCGGGAGGCGGGACUAUGCUAAUCAUUUGCGGGAGCGGCAACCCCCGUUGCCCCUCGGGAGUCCCGCCCGCGCGGAGGAGUGACGCCACGGACAGCCAGUCACAGCAGGCAGAGGCGGGGUUAUGCAGAUAUUGACCCCAGGUCUGGGUUUGGGUGAGUGGAGUAACAGGAACCAACCAGGCUGGUUGCUCAGAACGUGAUUGAUUCAGGGACCUCUCCAGAACUGGGCCGGCUGAGAGAAAGACGCUGUCUGGAGCUACUUACUGGGCGUCUUGCCACUGUGAGGGAUGUGGCGCCCGGGAAUGAGGCCAGCCCAGAGGGAAGCGAGAGCACACGUCCUGGGUCACCUGGAACAGCUACACCCUAAGCAAGCUCUGUCCUAGACUUUUCAGUUACAGGAGCUACUGUAUUUUCUUUUCUGCUGAAGCCAGUUUGAGUACAAAGGAAUACUGGGUCUUGCACCCCCAACAGUACUGACAGAGUAGUCGUGACCACAUGGCACACGGAGACAGUCCCGCUCACGGCCGCCUCUUCCACAAAGCCGGACCCCACCCCCACCGUGCCCCACCCGGCCUCCUGUCCCCCAAUGCUGGUCUCCGCGCUGCCGCCUCAGAAUGUGAUUCCCCAUCUCUAGCAAGGAGGAGGUACUGACAGGUCACCCCCAGCGGGACUAAGGGUGCCUUGAGGGCAGGGGCCGGCCUUGACUGAGUGGAUGGGGUCUCCAGCAGGGGUGGGGCCCAGAGAUCCCGUCAUCCCCAAUCCUAGAGACUGGCCCAGCUCACUGGUGGGCCCUGUCACUGCCGCCCGCCGACGUGCUGGGACUGAAAAGGAGCUCUCCCAACCUCUGCUGUAGAGAGAAACCAGGAGGGGGUGGGGCCAAGCCUCCGAAACAAAGGCGUUGCCAUGGUUACCCCUGAAGAAACCGACCCCGGCAGAAGAGGGAGGUGUGUGCAGGCCCCCAAGCCAGGACAAGGACAAGGCCUGUUGCCAUGGAGAUGCUCCAAAGCUUCCCUUGUGGGCCUGGCCAAAGUCCAGUGCAGGGUCCCGAAACCACCACCCCUCAUUCCAAGACGGGGCUUUGCGAUUCUGACCUAGGGCAAAGGACACGCCCCGAGGGAUUCAACCUGCCGGCCCACCCCGUGGCCAUGACCUCUGGGGUGAGUGCGGUAUCGGGGAGCUAGGGCCAGAGGAGAGGCUGGAAUGGAAAGAGUCUCCUGUCUGCCCACGGGCCACACCAGGGCUCAGCUUGACCACCUCUGCCCUGGCCUUGGAGUGGGGUAGGGUCUGACCCCAGGUGGGCCCUGCGGCUGGGAUAUCAGUUUACCCCCUUUUAACAGAUGCAAUAAACUGAGUUCCAAGGAUCAGGUGCUGGUCCUUCCUGGUCCCCGAGGCCAGGACUGAGUGAGAAUCCCCUCUUGGCUGAUGGCUGGGAGGACGGCACCUGGGACCCAACGCAGGAGCAUUUUUCCUGAUCUUCAGUAGGUCAAGAGGCCGAUUCCAGAGGCAAAAUUCUCUAAGAAUGGGACAGAAGAUGGGAGCGGAAAAGGAGACAGAGGGUUUGGGGCCAUGCGAUGAUGGUGGUGGUGGCUGACGUCAUCCAGUGGGUGACAUGUCCAGUUUCACGCCUGCGACGGCCAACCGAGUAGAUACUAUGUGUGAUUCCCACUGUGCAGAUGAGCAGACUGAGCCUGUGCUGAGGAAGCGGCCCAGGAGCUUGUCAGAAAGACAGAGACCUGCCCAGACCUCUCCACCGGGUCUGCCCCUGAACCAGAUGCCCAGCUGUUCCUGGGUGGCUGGGGCCCUGUGGGACUCCAUCUGGGUCACCAUAUCAACUACUGUUGACCUACCCACUGGCGGGGGAUUGCCACAGAGUCUCCUCCAUCCUGAGCGCUCAGGCCUGGCUUGGCUCCCAGGGUCCCCUCGGGAUCCCGGGGUCCAUCCACGUAUGCUGGGCUGGUACGUAACUUUCAGGGUGCCUGCUCCUGCAGGAACGGCUCUCCGACCAGGCCAACCCCAAGAGUGUCUGUGUGUCCCUCACCGCCCCAGAAUUAGAACCUCCCUGUCCCACGUCCCGCACGAGGCUCAGUUGAUAUCGUGACCCAGCAGCCCUGUGGGUGGCUGCCCGGCCUCCCCUCAGCAGCUGGCCGACCUGUGGGCCCGGUGCCCGGAAGCCCCAAAUGUGUGGGAACGCGUGCCCCUGCUGUGCCGUCAGGAGGCACGUUCACACGCACUACCCUCCUGGCUGUCUCCCCGAGAGGACGCAGAACACGGAUGAUGCCUCCUUCAGAUGGGGAAACUGAGGCUCAGGCAGCAGAGCAGGCUGUCCGCUCGCUGCAGAGCCGGCCGGCAGCCAGAGCCACCCCGUAAGCCCAACCGGGCUGGGCGUCCAGGAGUGCCGAUGCCCGCACUGCUGGCCUGGCCUUUGCCUUGGAAGGGGGCGGGGCGGGGCCCGAGGCUCAGCCCUCUCCCUGCCACCCACGGGCCUUUGCAGAGACACUUUCCGCUCUCUUCUGUGGGAUGCUGGGGCGUCUCCUCUGAGGAUGCCACCUGGGUGGCCGGAGAGCGCUGGCCACCGCGGCCUGGCCCUGGCCCUCACGUGGCCCAAGCGGAUCCUUCCCCAUGCAACCUUCUCGUCUCCUCUGCAACGUGACAGCGCUCGGCUUCCCCGUCGUCGGAGGAGGGUAUUUUUAGUUUUGAACCCACCACGUGAAGAGAGACAAGUUAUCAAUAGCAGCGGCAAAGGGCUUUUUCUUUUUUUUCCCCAUGGCUUUGGGGCCUGAGCAAUCUGCACCCGUUAAAUUCUGCCAAAGAAAAAGCAGUGCCUUCCUCUUACCCACUUUCCACCCCGCUGCGGCUCCGCCAGCCAGCUCCUCCCGGCGCGACCCCGCCUGACUCAGCGGCACCCCCAUCCCUGGGGGAGGGAGUUGGCCCUGAGGUCAGCGUGUCCCCUGGACCCCUGGAGGAACGGGCGGGGGUGAGCUGACCCCGGGGGCCGAGAGAGAGGGCAAGGCAGGCGCGCGGGGGGUUGGCGGGGCCCCGCCUUCCACACCCACAGAGGUCACAUAGGCCCCACUUCUAGCUUCAGUAGCAGCCCUAGCAUUUAUGGAGCACUUACCGUGUACCCAGCAGUGGGCUGAGCAUCUUUGAGGGCGCUUUCCCAAACCAGGUGCCGUGCAAUCCCCAGUCCCUUGUGGCUGUUAUUAGGUGUUUCUGGAAGAAAGGGUUUCGUGGCCAAGUAGGUUUGGGAAAGCUAUGUAAAUGAAGCCGACGAGGGGGCACCCAGGUGGCUCAGUCAGUUAAGCGUCUUGAUCUCGGCUCAGGUCAUGAUCUCACGGUCCGUGAGCCCUAAGACCCAUGUGGAGCUCAGUGCAGAGAGCAGAGCACAGAGCGUGGAGCCUGCUGGGAACUCUCUCUCCCUCCCUCCCUCUCUCUGCCCCUCCC